CUUAGCUCGAACGGGUUUUGGACAAUUCUAUUCUAAUUCUAACCGUACUCUGCUCCUGGUCAUGAAGAAUUAAGGAUCAUUCUCCUCCAUUUAUCUGUCUGUUAUCUCAAUGUGUUGGGGUCUGUUUCCCAGCCCCAGAUGAAGCCAUCUUUUGGACUAAAAAGCAUUUGAUUUUUUAGUCCAGGAUUAGGCUUAAUCUGUGUCCGGGAAACCGGCCCAUUAUGUAUUAUGUCCAGAUUGGUCCAACUCUAUAUUCACCCACCCCAGAGUAUACUGUUCUAACCUCUCCUCCCCCUGUUUCCAUAGUUACCCGUACACCCUGCGUCAGUACCUGGAGGUGAACGUGCCCAGCAGGAGAGAGGGCCCUCUGAUGUUGCUGCAGCUGCUGGACCUCUUCUUCAUUUCAACCAACAUUGAGUAAUCAUAUUGUUAUUUAAUAUCUUUAUUGUGCAGAUGGCUACCCCCAGCUGGUUAUCACUGACUUUGGCUGCUGCUUGGAUCAGAAAGACUCCAGUCUACAGCUGCCCUUCAACUCUAUAUGGGUGAAUAAAUAUGGCAACUCCUGCCUGAUGGCACCUAAGUGCCCCAGUGCCAGAGUGGCUGCCAACAUGCUGCAUCUCAGCCUCUGGGGAAGGCGGGCCCUGGCCAAUCAGGACAGCGCUGGUAUGAAGACGUUAGCUGAUUGGCUGCUGUGCCAGUCUGCCAUGGUGCUCCUGAGAGGCUGCAGGCCCAGUGGGAGCUUGGAAGAGGCAGAGCUACAGUACAGAGGUGCUUCAUGUCGAACGUGGACCUGGAAGACCUCCGAUUGUGGUGGAAAUGGAAUAGAAAAGUCACUCUGUGAAGUUGUGGGAACCCACCAAUAUAAAAUCAUUGAAUUCACCUUAAAAAGGAAAAUAAUAAUAAUGUCAAAAUAGUUUCUCUCCCCAUUUCCACCCAUGUGUGUAGAGCUUUCAGGAAACAAAUACAGUGCGCUCCAAAAGUAUUGGGACAGUGACACAUUUUUGGUUGUUUUGGCUCUGUACUCCAGCACAUUGGUUUUGAAAUGAUACAAUAACUGUAAGGUUAAAGACUGUCAGCUUUAAUUUUAGGGUAUUUUCAUGCAUAUCGUUUUGAAAUUACAGCACUUUUUGUACAUAGUCCCCCUAUUUUAGGGGAUUGGGACAAAUUCACUUGUGUAUUAAAGAAGUAAAAAGUUCAGUAUUUGAUCCCAUAUUCAUAGCGCGCAAUGACUACAUCAAGCUUGUGACUCUACAACUUGUUGGAUGCAUUUGCUGUUUGUUUCGCUGGUUUCAGAUUAUUUUGUACCCAAUAGAAAUUAAUGGUAAAUAAUAUAUUGUGCCAUUUUGGAGUCACUUUUAUUGUAAAUAAGAAUAGAAUAUGUUUCUAAACACUUUCACAUUAAAUGUGGAUGCUACCAUG